UCAGGAGUAAAGACAGAGU
rnacentral:miRNA from 1 species